GUGGGGAAUAUUGGGCAAUGGGCGCAAGCCUGACCCAGCAACGCCGCGUGAAGGAAGAAGGCUUUCGGGUUGUAAACUUCUUUUACCAGGGACGAAACAAAUGACGGUACCUGGUGAAUAAGCCACGGCUAACUACGUGCCAGCAGCCGCGGUAAUACGUAGGUGGCGAGCGUUAUCCGGAUUUAUUGGGUGUAAAGGGCGUGUAGGCGGGACAGCAAGUCAGAUGUGAAAACCAGAGGCUCAACCUCUGGCCUGCAUUUGAAACUGUUGUUCUUGAGUGUCGGAGAGGUAAUCGGAAUUCCGUGUGUAGCGGUGAAAUGCGUAGAUAUACGGAGGAACACCAGUGGCGAAGGCGGCUUCCUGGCACAAUACUGACGCUCAUGUGCGAAAGCUAGGGCAGCGAACGGGAUUAGAUACCCUUGUAGUCC
rnacentral:rRNA from 1 species